CCUACGGGGGGCAGCAGUGGGGAAUAUUGGACAAUGGGGGGAACCCUGAUCCAGCCAUGCCGCGUGUGUGAAGAAGGCCCUCGGGUUGUAAAGCACUUUCAGUGAGGAAGAACGCCUGGUGGUUAAUACCCAUCAGGAAAGACAUCACUCACAGAAGAAGCACCGGCUAACUCCGUGCCAGCAGCCGCGGUAAUACGGAGGGUGCGAGCGUUAAUCGGAAUUACUAGGCGUAAAGCGCGCGUAGGUGGCUUGAUAAGCCGGUUGUGAAAGCCCCGGGCUCAACCUGGGAACGGCAUCCGGAACUGUCAAGCUAGAGUGCAGGAGAGGAAGGUAGAAUUCCCGGUGUAGCGGUGAAAUGCGUAGAGAUCGGGAGGAAUACCAGUGGCGAAGGCGGCCUUCUGGACUGACACUGACACUGAGGUGCGAAAGCGUGGGUAGCAAACAGGAUUAGAUACCCUAGUAGUC
rnacentral:rRNA from 1 species